AGUACACUGCAGGUCAGCAGAUAACGGCUCUUUGCUGCAGGGAGGGCUGUUAACGGCAGCUAAACCCGACGAAGCGGGCACAGGAGGAAAGGGGCAGCGGGGGCAAUGGACGACCAUCCAGAGCAGUUUCACCUGGCUUGUGAUGAAACAUGGCAUCAGGUGUCCAUUAUGGAUCCUCAGAAUGAGCAGAAAGAUCAUCCAAGCAUUUCUGUAAUAAUCCUUAGAACAAAAUAAAAAUGCAA